rnacentral:rRNA from 1 species
GCAUGCAGUCGAACGGAACUUCUAGCUUUUUCGGAAGUUUAGUGGCGAAAGGGUGAGUAACACGUGGGUUACCUGCCCUAGGGUUCGGGAUAACCUGUCGAAAGACGGGCUAAUACCGGAUACGUCCUGCGCUUUUCGAAGUGCAGGGGAAAGAUGGGGAUCCGUAAGGACCUAUCACCCUUGGAUGGGCCCGCGGCCUAUCAGCUAGUUGGUGAGGUAAUGGCUCACCAAGGCUAAGACGGGUAGCUGGUCUGAGAGGAUGGUCAGCCACACUGGAACUGAGACACUGUCCAGACACCUACGGGUGGCUGCAGUCGAGAAUCUUUCGCAAUGGGGGAAACCCUGACGACGCGACGCCGCGUGGAGGAUGAAGGCCUUCGGGUUGUAAACUCCUGUCAGCAGGGGAGAACAAGCUUUCGAUGAAUAAUUGAGAGCUUUGACAGUACCUGCAGAGGAAGCCACGGCUAACUCUGUGCCAGCAGCCGCGGUAAUACAGAGGUGGCAAGCGUUGUUCGGAUUUAUUGGGCGUAAAGGGUCCGUAGGCGGCCUGAAAAGUUGGAUGUGAAAUCCCACAGCUUAACUGUGGAACUGCAUUCAAAACUUUCAGGCUCGAGUGUGAUAGGGGUAAAGGGAAUUCCCGGUGUAAGGGUGAAAUCUGCAGAGAUCGGGAGGAACACCAGUCGCGAAGGCGCUUUACUGGAUCACUACUGACGCUGAGGGACGAAAGCCAGGGGAGCAAACGGGAUUAGAUACCCCGGUAGUCCUGGCCGUAAACGAUGGACACUAGGUGU